rnacentral:rRNA from 1 species
AUUGAACGCUGGCGGCAGGCCUAACACAUGCAAGUCGAGCGGAUGAAGGGAGCUUGCUCCUGGAUUCAGCGGCGGACGGGUGAGUAAUGCCUAGGAAUCUGCCUGGUAGUGGGGGAUAACGUCCGGAAACGGGCGCUAAUACCGCAUACGUCCUGAGGGAGAAAGUGGGGGAUCUUCGGACCUCACGCUAUCAGAUGAGCCUAGGUCGGAUUAGCUAGUUGGUGGGGUAAAGGCCUACCAAGGCGACGAUCCGUAACUGGUCUGAGAGGAUGGUCAGUCACACUGGAACUGAGACACGGUCCAGACUCCUACGGGAGGCAGCAGUGGGGAAUAUUGGACAAUGGGCGAAAGCCUAAUCCAGCCAUGCCGCGUGUGUGAAGAAGGUCUUCGGAUUGUAAAGCACUUUAAGUUGGGAGGAAGGGCAGUAAGUUAAUACCUUGCUGUUUUGACGUUACCAACAGAAUAAGCACCGGCUAACUUCGUG